GACGAACGCUGGCGGCGUGCCUAAUACAUGCAAGUAGAACGCACAGUUUAUACCGUAGCUUGCUACACCAUAGACUGUGAGUUGCGAACGGGUGAGUAACGCGUAGGUAACCUGCCUGGUAGCGGGGGAUAACUAUUGGAAACGAUAGCUAAUACCGCAUAAUAUUAAUUAUUGCAUGAUAAUUGAUUGAAAGAUGCAACUGCAUCACUACCAGAUGGACCUGCGUUGUAUUAGCUAGUAGGUGAGGUAACGGCUCACCUAGGCGACGAUACAUAGCCGACCUCAGAGGGUGAUCGGCAUCAAGGGGACUGGGACAGGGCCCAGGCUUCUCCAGGAGGCAGCAGAAGGGAAUCUUCGGCAAAGGACGAAAGGCUGAACGAGCGAAGCCGCGUGAGUGACGAAGGGUCUCGGGUCGUAAAGCUCCGUUGUAAGUGGAGAACGGGUGUGAGAGUGGAAAGUUCACACUGUGACGGUAUCUGACCAGAAAGGGACGGCUAACUACGUG
rnacentral:rRNA from 1 species